CUCCUCUGAUGCGCGCCGUUCGGCGCAUUCUUGGCUCCCCGACGGCCAGAGCUUCCUCUGAUGCCCGAGGGCCGACGCCUCCUUGGCUUUCCGGCGGCCGGUUACUUCUUCAUGGCGAGCGGCAGCUACACUGGCUUCCGCAGCAAGCGGUAGCGGAAGAUGGCGCCAGGUCAGCGAUGAUGAGUGGCGUGCGGUUGACGGCCGUGACAGAGUGGACGACAUGACCGUGUGCUCACCAGUGACGCAGGUAGCGGGAAGAGCCAUGGUGGCGGCGGCGCUUCGACGCUUUGAUCGAGGGAGAUGCGGGAACAUAGCUGCCGUCGGAGGAGCACAAGUAUUUUCUCGACCACAUCUCUCUCGUAUGCACUCUUUCUCAGCCGCUGGCACCAAGAGGCAAGAGCUCAAAGGCAGAAGCCCGUGAACUUUGAUCUCAAGUUCUUGGAUAUUCUUGAACUGAGCCACGGUAAAAUGUUCCCUUGCUCUCUAGGGAUGUUGCAAUAGUCGACUCAUAGUGCAGCAAAGGGUGUGCGUCAGUUCACGUUGGAGAGGAAGAUAUGGACCAAGUUGUGAGAGUUGCACAACCUGGAAAAGAUGAGGAGGCAAAUGAACAUCAUCACCAGCUAGGAGACGGUGAGCGCCACAGCCACGGGGCACGUACUUCAUGUCCUCUGAUCAGGAGAGCACCCUCGCUGUCAUCCAUCCAUGGCUCCGCUCGCCGAUAAAAAAGAGCGACGAGGGGGGACAGAGGGUCGCAAUGCCAGGCGUACCUCCUUGACGGUGUACUGAAGCACUCUUCUUGCGGUGUACGCUCGCAGGUGGACAAGGAGCACACACAAAUAAAAAGGAAUGAUAGACAAUGAGUAGUGAAGAUAUGGUUGACAUGUUCAUUGGUUACUGCAAUCAGGGUCACAUCAAAUCUUCCUAGCUAGCAAGCUAAAAGUACAGCGAUGAAGGAGCCUAUGUCAGCUAGCUGUAUUUCUGUGCAUGUAUGGAAUAUAGCGACAAAGUAGCUUCUGUUAGCUAGCCGUACUUCUGGGUAUGUAAUCUAAUAAAUGGAGUUUUAAUUAUGAAACAAUUAUUCGUAUUUUUGUGUGUUGAGGGGUGGUAACAGUCAUAUUAAUUAAAUGGAUCUCGGUUAGGUAAACAGUCAUACUAUCUAAAUUGAGUCCUACUUUCGUACUUCACCAUCUCUGUUAAAUUUUAAUCACCAGAAAUGUGUCCUCUUAUCUAAUGUAAUCUUAUAAACUCUGUAAUCAUGCCCAAAUAUGAAUUAGCACCACCAGCUAAUCCUAAUUUUAUAGUUGAAUUUGUGUUGGCACCACUAGGUCAUGUGGAUUGGAUCUGACGCAUGCAAUAGCAACAAGGGAAGCAAGGCGAAUCCAGGGUCACACACACAUGGGGCACUAGCGUGGCAGCGAGUCCGGCGACCACCGGCGCGGGAACUCUGGCUUUCAGGUGAACCAUUCCUCUCCCUGCCUUUUUUUACUUCCCUUGAUCGUAUAAUUUAUCACAUAUUUUCUUUUCUUUUUUUCAGUUCAGUCAAGUCAAGCUAUCACUGGUUUACCACAUUGCAUGGGCAACAUGCUCCUUGCUAUUGGAGUCCAUGGUGCAGGUCUCCUAUGGUGCAUAUCCGUUCAGUGACAGACUUAUUCAACUUUCUCAAGCUAUUCCCACACUUUGAUUUCAUUCAGAAAUGGAAUUUUGACACAGAUAGAUCAAAGGAAAUAUUCUGAAUUUUGGGCGAUCAGUAAAGGAGGUGAUCGAAGAUUUAGUUAAGUCAGAGAAUGAGAUCACGGAGGCUAGGCCCACAAAGAGUAGGAGCUCGACUGGUCGGACCAAGAUGACACCACCAAAGAAGAACCUGAGGAACCUGAGGGUACAGCCAGUGAUGUCGUCAUCCUCUCCUCCGAGGAUGAAGACAACGCCAACGAGCGAUGGCAAGAGGCUGGAAUAAUCAGAGCACUUGCGUGGGCAUAGUGAUCUACCCUACUGCUUAAGUUCAGCUUACUGAAUGUAUGACAUAAUCUAGCGUUGCAUGCUAUUAGUGUUUAGUGCCUAAUGAGGUAUGCAAUGCAAGUUUCACUUCUAAAUGUUUUUACACCGUUGUAACUUAAAAUAGGAGCAUAUUUCACUAUUCAACUUGCUGCUUCCUUUAA